rnacentral:rRNA from 1 species
UUAAGUUAUUAAGGGCGCACGGUGGAUGCCUUGGCACUAGAAGCCGAUGAAGGACGUUACUAACGACGAUAUGCUUUGGGGAGCUGUAAGUAAGCUUUGAUCCAGAGAUUUCCGAAUGGGGAAACCCAGCAUGAGUUAUGUCAUGUUAUCGAUAUGUGAAUACAUAGCAUAUCAGAAGGCACACCCGGAGAACUGAAACAUCUUAGUACCCGGAGGAAGAGAAAGAAAAUUCGAUUCCCUUAGUAGCGGCGAGCGAAAUGGGAAGAGCCCAAACCAACAAGCUUGCUUGUUGGGGUUGUAGGACACUCUAUACGGAGUUACAAAGGACGACAUUAGACGAAUCAUCUGGAAAGAUGAAUCAAAGAAGGUAAUAAUCCUGUAGUCGAAAAUGUUGUCUCUCUUGAGUGGAUCCUGAGUACGACGGAGCACGUGAAAUUCCGUCAGAAUCUGGGAGGACCAUCUCCUAAGGCUAAAUACUCUCUAGUGACCGAUAGUGAACCAGUACCGUGAGGGAAAGGUGAAAAGCACCCCGGAAGGGGAGUGAAAUAGAACCUGAAACCGUGUGCUUACAAGUAGUCAGAGCCCGUUAAUGGGUGAUGGCGUGCCUUUUGUAGAAUGAACCGGCGAGUUACGAUUUGAUGCAAGGUUAAGCAGUAAAUGUGGAGCCGUAGCGAAAGCGAGUCUGAAUAGGGCGUUUAGUAUUUGGUCGUAGACCCGAAACCAGGUGAUCUACCCUUGGUCAGGUUGAAGUUCAGGUAACACUGAAUGGAGGACCGAACCGACUUACGUUGAAAAGUGAGCGGAUGAACUGAGGGUAGCGGAGAAAUUCCAAUCGAACCUGGAGAUAGCUGGUUCUCUCCGAAAUAGCUUUAGGGCUAGCCUCAAGUGAUGAUUAUUGGAGGUAGAGCACUGUUUGGACGAGGGGCCCCUCUCGGGUUACCGAAUUCAGACAAACUCCGAAUGCCAAUUAAUUUAACUUGGGAGUCAGAACAUGGGUGAUAAGGUCCGUGUUCGAAAGGGAAACAGCCCAGACCACCAGCUAAGGUCCCAAAAUAUAUGUUAAGUGGAAAAGGAUGUGGCGUUGCCCAGACAACUAGGAUGUUGGCUUAGAAGCAGCCAUCAUUUAAAGAGUGCGUAAUAGCUCACUAGUCGAGUGACACUGCGCCGAAAAUGUACCGGGGCUAAACAUAUUACCGAAGCUGUGGAUUGUCCUUUGGACAAUGGUAGGAGAGCGUUCUAAGGGCGUUGAAGCAUGAUCGUAAGGACAUGUGGAGCGCUUAGAAGUGAGAAUGCCGGUGUGAGUAGCGAAAGACGGGUGAGAAUCCCGUCCACCGAUUGACUAAGGUUUCCAGAGGAAGGCUCGUCCGCUCUGGGUUAGUCGGGUCCUAAGCUGAGGCCGACAGGCGUAGGCGAUGGAUAACAGGUUGAUAUUCCUGUACCACCUAUAAUCGUUUUAAUCGAUGGGGGGACGCAGUAGGAUAGGCGAAGCGUGCGAUUGGAUUGCACGUCUAAGCAGUAAGGCUGAGUAUUAGGCAAAUCCGGUACUCGUUAAGGCUGAGCUGUGAUGGGGAGAAGACAUUGUGUCUUCGAGUCGUUGAUUUCACACUGCCGAGAAAAGCCUCUAGAUAGAAAAUAGGUGCCCGUACCGCAAACCGACACAGGUAGUCAAGAUGAGAAUUCUAAGGUGAGCGAGCGAACUCUCGUUAAGGAACUCGGCAAAAUGACCCCGUAACUUCGGGAGAAGGGGUGCUCUUUAGGGUUAACGCCCAGAAGAGCCGCAGUGAAUAGGCCCAAGCGACUGUUUAUCAAAAACACAGGUCUCUGCUAAACCGUAAGGUGAUGUAUAGGGGCUGACGCCUGCCCGGUGCUGGAAGGUUAAGAGGAGUGGUUAGCUUCUGCGAAGCUACGAAUCGAAGCCCCAGUAAACGGCGGCCGUAACUAUAACGGUCCUAAGGUAGCGAAAUUCCUUGUCGGGUAAGUUCCGACCCGCACGAAAGGCGUAACGAUUUGGGCACUGUCUCAACGAGAGACUCGGUGAAAUCAUAGUACCUGUGAAGAUGCAGGUUACCCGCGACAGGACGGAAAGACCCCGUGGAGCUUUACUGUAGCCUGAUAUUGAAAUUCGGCACAGCUUGUACAGGAUAGGUAGGAGCCUUUGAAACGUGAGCGCUAGCUUACGUGGAGGCGCUGGUGGGAUACUACCCUAGCUGUGUUGGCUUUCUAACCCGCACCACUUAUCGUGGUGGGAGACAGUGUCAGGCGGGCAGUUUGACUGGGGCGGUCGCCUCCUAAAAGGUAACGGAGGCGCUCAAAGGUUCCCUCAGAAUGGUUGGAAAUCAUUCAUAGAGUGUAAAGGCAUAAGGGAGCUUGACUGCGAGACCUACAAGUCGAGCAGGGUCGAAAGACGGACUUAGUGAUCCGGUGGUUCCGCAUGGAAGGGCCAUCGCUCAACGGAUAAAAGCUACCCCGGGGAUAACAGGCUUAUCUCCCCCAAGAGUUCACAUCGACGGGGAGGUUUGGCACCUCGAUGUCGGCUCAUCGCAUCCUGGGGCUGUAGUCGGUCCCAAGGGUUGGGCUGUUCGCCCAUUAAAGCGGUACGCGAGCUGGGUUCAGAACGUCGUGAGACAGUUCGGUCCCUAUCCGUCGUGGGCGUAGGAAAUUUGAGAGGAGCUGUCCUUAGUACGAGAGGACCGGGAUGGACAUACCUCUGGUGUACCAGUUGUCGUGCCAACGGCAUAGCUGGGUAGCUAUGUGUGGACGGGAUAAGUGCUGAAAGCAUCUAAGCAUGAAGCCCCCCUCAAGAUGAGAUUUCCCAACUUCGGUUAUAAGAUCCCUCAAAGAUGAUGAGGUUAAUAGGUUCGAGGUGGAAGCAUGGUGACAUGUGGAGCUGACGAAUACUAAUCGAUCGAAGACUUAAUCAA